AGGACGGGGUGAGGUGGGGAGGAGCAGCCAGUCCUGUCUCACCUCUCCUUCCUCGACCCCAG
rnacentral:miRNA from 1 species